CUCAGCGUACGGCUCUGUAACACGUAGUUAAUCUGCCCUUGGGACGGGUAUAACCCUGGGAAACUGGGGCUAAUCCCCGAUAGGCGCAGUGGCCUGGAAUGGUACUGCACUCAAAAGGCUUCAAGAACAUGCUCUUGGAGUUGCCCUAGGAUGAGACUGCGGCCGAUCAGGUUGUUGGUGGGGUAACGGCCUACCAAGCCUAUUACCGGUACGGGCCCUGAGAGGGGUAGCCCGGAGAUGGGAACUGAGACAAGGUCCCAGGUCCUACGGGGCGCAGCAGGCGCGAAAACUCCGCAAUGCGCGAAUGCGUGACGGGGUCAUCCCGAGUGCCGUCCGAUGAGGAUGGCUUUUCUUCAGUUUAAGGAUCUGGAGGAAUAAAGGGGGGGCAAGACUGGUGUCAGCCGCCGCGGUAAUACCAGCCCCCUGAGUGGUAGGGACGAUUAUUUGGCCUAAAGCGUCCGUAGCCGGCUUAGGGAGUCUUUCGUCAAAUCCGACGAUUCCAUCGUUGGACCGCGGAAGAUACUGCUAGGCUUGAGGACGGGAGAGGUCGACGGUAGUCCCGGGGUAGGGGUGAAAUCCUAUAAUCCUGGGAGGACCACCAGUGGCGAAGGCGGUCGACUAGAACGUGCCUGACGGUGAUGGACGAAAGCUGGGGGAGCGAACCGGAUUAGACACCCGGGUAGUCCCAGCUGUAAACGAUGCGAGCUAGGUGUUGGAGCAACUACGGGUUGCCCCAGUGCCGCAGAGAAGUCGUUAAGCUCGCCGCCUGGGAAGUACGGCCGGCAGGCUGAACUUAAAGGCCU
rnacentral:rRNA from 1 species